CUGUCACUUAUGGAUGGACCCGCGUCGCAUUAGCUAGUUGGUGAGGUAACGGCUCACCAAGGCAACGAUGCGUAGCCGACCUGAGAGGGUGAUCGGCCACACUGGGACUGAGACACGGCCCAGACUCCUACGGGAGGCAGCAGUAGGGAAUCUUCCGCAAUGGACGAAAGUCUGACGGAGCAACGCCGCGUGAGUGAUGAAGGCUUUCGGGUCGUAAAACUCUGUUGUUAGGGAAGAACAAGUGCUAGUUGAAUAAGCUGGCACCUUGACGGUACCUAACCAGAAAGCCACGGCUAACUACGUGCCAGCAGCCGCGGUAAUACGUAGGUGGCAAGCGUUAUCCGGAAUUAUUGGGCGUAAAGCGCGCGCAGGUGGUUUCUUAAGUCUGAUGUGAAAGCCCACGGCUCAACCGUGGAGGGUCAUUGGAAACUGGGAGACUUGAGUGCAGAAGAGGAAAGUGGAAUUCCAUGUGUAGCGGUGAAAUGCGUAGAGAUAUGGAGGAA
rnacentral:rRNA from 2 species